AGAGUUUGAUCCUGGCUCAGGACGAACGCUGGCGGCGUGCCUAACACAUGCAAGUCGUGCGGUCUCGCCUUAAGCGAAAGGCCUUCGGGCUUUGAAGCAAAGGCGAGAUAGCGGCGGACGGGUGAGUAACGCGUGGCUUAUCUGUCCCAGGGAGGGGGAUAACGUCUGGAAACGGGCGCUAAUACCCCAUAUGCCGAAAGGUAAAAAGGAGAGAUCCGCCCUGGGGUGAGGCCGCGUCCUAUCAGCUCGUUGGUGAGGUAACGGCCCACCAAGGCUAUGACGGGUAGCCGGCCUGAGAGGGCGGCUGGCCACACUGGGAUUGAGAUACGGCCCAGACUCCUACGGGAGGCAGCAGUGGGGAAUAUUGGGCAAUGGGGGAAACCCUGACCCAGCGACGCCGCGUGGAGGAAGGAGCCCUUCGGGGUGUAAACUCCUGUUGUAAGGGAAGAAGACAGUGACGGUACCUUACGAGGAAGCCCCGGCAAACUACGUGCCAGCAGCCGCGGUAACACGUAGGGGGCGAGCGUUGUCCGGAAUUACUGGGCGUAAAGCGCACGCAGGCGGAUGCGCGCGUCGGCUGUGAAAUGCACCGGCUCAACCGGUGCGCUGCGGUCGAUACGGCGCAUCUGGAGUGCGGGAGAGGGAAGCGGAAUUCCCGGUGUAGCGGUGAAAUGCGUAGAUAUCGGGAGGAACGCCGGUGGCGAAGGCGGCUUCCUGGCCCGCAACUGACGCUCAUGUGCGAAAGCCAGGGGAGCGAACCGGAUUAGAUACCCGGGUAGUCCUGGCCGUAAACGAUGGACGCUAGGUGUGGGCGGUUUAUCCGUCUGUGCCGAAGUUAACGCGUUAAGCGUCCCGCCUGGGGAGUACGAUCGCAAGGUUGAAACUCAAAUGAAUUGACGG
rnacentral:rRNA from 1 species